GGGCCCGCACAAGCAGCGGAGCAUGUGGUUUAAUUCGAUGCAACGCGAAGAACCUUACCAGGGUUUGACAUCCUGCGAAUCUCUUGGAAACGAGAGAGUGCCUUCGGGAAUGCAGUGACAGGUGGUGCAUGGCUGUCGUCAGCUCGUGUCGUGAGAUGUUGGGUUAAGUCCCGCAACGAGCGCAACCCACGUCGUUAGUUGCCAGCAUUUAGUUGGGCACUCUAGCGAGACCGCCGGUGAUAAACCGGAGGAAGGUGUGGAUGACGUCAAGUCAUCAUGCCCCUUACAUCCUGGGCUACACACGUACUACAAUGCUACGGACAAAGGGCAGCAAGUUCGCGAGGACAAGCA
rnacentral:rRNA from 1 species